GAUGAACGCUGGCGGCGUGCCUAAUACAUGCAAGUCGAGCGGACGGACGAGAAGCUUGCUUCUCUGAUGUUAGCGGCGGACGGGUGAGUAACACGUGGAUAACCUACCUAUAAGACUGGUAUAACUUCGAGAAACCGGAGCUAAUACCGGAUAAUAUUUUGAACCGCAUGGUUCAAAGGUGAAAGACGGUCUUGCUGUCACUUAUAGAUGGAUCCGCGCUGCAUUAGCUAGUUGGUAAGGUAACGGCUUACCAAGGCAACGAUGCAUAGCCGACCUGAGAGGGGGGUAGGCCACACUGGAGCUGAAACACGGUCCAUACGCCUACGAGAGGCAGCAGUAGGGAAUCGUCCGCAGUGGUCGAAAGCCUGACGGAGCAACGCCGAGUGAGUGAUGAAGGUCUCCGGAUCGUAAAACUGUGUUAUGAGGUAAGAACAGAUGUGUACGGAACUGUGCAGAGCUUGACGGUACCUAAUCAGAAAGCAACGGCUAACUACGUG
rnacentral:rRNA from 1 species